rnacentral:rRNA from 1 species
CGCGGGCGGGAAAGGGGUGAGCGCGGUCGGUCGGUAGCGGGCGAACGAAGGGGCUGAACAGAUGAGGGUGGUGGUAGUCGCGGUAAAGCGAGAGACUGAGCUAGGAGGAGGGAGGAGGAGAUAGGGAGGGAGAGGAAAGCGAAAGCGGAAAGACGGCCGCACGCGUGAAUAGACGAACGCCCCAGGCCUGCCGCUGCCCCCCACGCUCAGGCCCGCAGGUAGGUUUCGGUCGAAGGUUCGUCCUUGGCCAGCACAGCGAACGAUCGCCCCCAUCCACCCAGCGGCCCGUCGGUCGGCCGCGGUCUUCGAGACGAACAAGAACUGGAGCGGCGGAGCUGAACUGCCCCGUGCCUUAAACCACCACCCAGGUACGGAGGAGGAAGCGGCGACGGAGCCGUGGCCGUCCUCGCGGCGCCCACGCCGACGACCCGGCACGACUGCUCCCCGGACGCCCCGAGGACGAAGGCGGGCCGCCGCCGCCGGCGGCGGCGGGGCCGGCCCCGGCGCCAGUUUCCGCCGGUACAGAUGCUGCGUCCACCGACUAAUUUAAGGACGAGAAAUAGGCCUUCAGAACAGGAAAAAAGGACCAACCACCCUAGAGAAACAGACCAAGGCCCUCGCUAGUCGACGAAACAAGAGAUCGCUAAUGUAUGGCGGUACUACACUAUCGACACCAUGAACUAUGCUACAACACAAGCAGCUCGUUUCCAUGUUCUUUGUGCUCCUAGUCUACUUAAAACGAAUCAUAAGGGUAAGAAACUACUUCCUAGGACAGGAACGAUCGUCAUAUUAACGGUCGAGAGUGUUCUAACACGUCGUGACUUGAAAAAAAUAAAAUGUAGCUUAACCCGAAAGAAAGAACCAAGGACUAACUCUCAACUGGUAGUUAACUCCUUUGGAUAACUUAAAUUGGAACGAAUAAAGUGGCUCCGCAGCUACAGGAUUAGAAUUUGUCGAUCACGGUACCGUCGUAUAUAUACUCGAACCCGAACACAGAAAUUGAGAAAAAUACCUACCCAUUCAUUUUCCACAAGAAACAAGAUAACGCUCUAUCGUUAGGGGAAGUUUGGUUACCAAAAAACGACGAAUAGAAAUCCACGUUCAACACAAUACGUUAAGUGAUAUCAUUAUUAAGACUGAUCGUCCACUCUAAAAACGACUGGUAACACUGUAUUGACUUCUUUGUGUACACCAUUUAUGAUGAUGUCUCCGUACUUAGUCCGGAAACAAGGAAGCCAAGUCCCUCGUUUGAUGUAGAUUAAUACAACGAAAGACGACACUGCGAGUAGUAACUGUAAAACGGAUUCGAAUGGAUCGUCAUAUUCUUUGUAUAAGUACUAUGGAGUUAAGUUGACCUAACUAAGAAAAAAGGAAUUAUUUUGGACUCCUAUUCAUACGGAUCAUAUAUUAUGAGAACCAGAACCCAUCAACCCGUAUACAGGUAGAUGAAACAAUUGGUCAAACCUAUGGACCCCUUCAGGUUCUGGAUUCUUUAUAUUCGUAGUCGUUUAUAUAAAAUAGGAUCGAGUGUGUAAACUCGCAUUAGACUCACGUCGUAUAACGUGAAGUCUCACAUGAUCAUAUUGGUACGGUAGAUGAAACAUCAGAGGUAACCGUUUAAAGGUCAAACCCCACUUUACGAGUUGGUAAAAGGGGUGAGGUACCGUCGCCUCUGUUCUAUGGAUUUGAGAUCGUUAGCUCUAGAACGUCUAGUAAAAGUCUCCUUCGAACCACUUCUUUUACCACAACUGCGUAGUUAACUCUUCUUUUAUAGUGGGUUCGAUGAACUUAAGUGAAAGGUUCUCGAAUUUAGACGGUGACAAUUGAAAUCUGGUCUGUCAUAAGAGCCUCUUCCACCUAAACCCAUACAGAAGUUCCCCACCUAACUCGGCUUGUCGUGUCGAGGACGUUUCGGGCCGUGACCAGACUGACAUCGACAGUUUUCAGACUUCCUUUUACGAGAAGUUCCAGUAUCUCUUACCCACCGCCUUCAACUGAAAGACCCUGUCGACGUAGUGUUUGUAGAACAAUUCGACUAACCUAUGACAUAACUCCUACUGGUUUCUGACGAACAUAUACUUAAGUACCGUGCCCCUUCAGAUCUUUUAGUAGAAAAGUCUUCCUGAGAAGGGGAUGGAACCGGCACGUCCUACUUCCAACAAGAACCACGACGAUUUCCAGAUCGGAAGGAUGUACAACCAGGCUUUGGUCAAUAAAUGUCCCUAAAAUUCUGUAGUUUAUAAGAAUAGCUACGCCUAAUGUUAAGUUUUGAUAGUCUAAAACCUAAUCGUUUUCGACCAGGGGUUCCACUAUUUUGGGUACAGAGAUGAGCCCAAGAACCGUGGAUACCGAUGCGACGCGGACUCAUACAUUACUGUCCGGUGAACUGUUGGUUCUCGCUGCACAUAUCGAAGCCUCAGCACGAAGAGCUCCACGACUGACCGUCCUCUAGUCACCUGUUCUUCGCUGGAGGCCCCCUCGUCUUGGAGCAACGUACCCGCUCCGGCAUAGACUCGCUGGCCGCUUCCGAGAUAGUCGAGCAUCUGGGAGCGGACCCCGACUUGAUAAGGCAGUCUCCCCAAGUCUUCCAACGUGUCUAGACGGUGGUGACGGAGUUGGCACUGUCGUUCAGCGCGGGCUACUACCUACUUCAGCAGUUCGUAGACUGAGGCGACGUCCUGGAGUUGCUGUACCGGCGGCGUAGCAUAUCCGGGGCCAGCAGUGGGGCGCCUUUCCGCGCCGCCACUAACGGUCAGACUCCGCUGUCUUUGCCGUAAAGAUACUAAAGAACCGUAACAACCUACGACCAGGACAAAAUUGACAUGUCCCUUUUUUUCUAACCCGAGGUACAGGUAGCUGCUUUUAACCUCGAGACUGUGGGUACAGAGCGAAUCUAGUUAGUGUGACAAAAACGGACAACGGAUUCGCCUGGCUGCUGCAACAGACUAACACUAUACAACAUUAUUAUUGCUCAAUUAUAGACUAAACACAUACUCUUACCAAACCGGACCACCGCCACAUACGGUCACGGUAGGGUCACCAGAACGACCUCAAGUAUCCCCUUCUCUACCAACGACCGAACGACGACACCAAAGACUUGGACGACGAAACACAAACCACGAAUCCCUACACAAACCAACGUCCCGACAGGAGGGUCCUGUUCCUAUGGGGGAAAAACGAUACCAACGGUGGACAAACCUAGACUCCCGUUCCUUCCCAUCCCCGUCGAUCUACGAGCCUUAUAAGCAGUUUUUGCCCCGAUACCAAUCGACACUUUUUCACCGCCCACUGCCGUUGGUCGGGCGUGCACUCGUACUUUGGGAGUGAAAGGUG